UGGGGAAUUUUCCGCAAUGGGCGAAAGCCUGACGGAGCAAGACCGCGUGAGGGAGGAAGGCUCUUGGGUUGUAAACCUCUUUUGUCAGGGAAGAAGACAGUGACGGUACCUGACGAAUCAGCAUCGGCUAACUCCGUGCCAGCAGCCGCGGUAAUACGGAGGAUGCAAGCGUUAUCCGGAUUUAUUGGGCGUAAAGCGUCCGCAGGUGGUUGGACAAGUCUGCUGUUAAAGCGCGGAGCUUAACUCCGUAACGGCGGUGGAAACUGUACGACUAGAGUUCGGUAGGGGUUGCGGGAAUUCCCAGUGUAGCGGUGAAAUGCGUAGAUAUUGGGAAGAACACCGGUGGCGAAAGCGCGCAACUGGACCGAGACUGACACUCAUGGACGAAAGCUAGGGGAGCGAAAGGGAUUAGAUACCCCUGUAGUCCUAGCUGUAAACGAUGGAUACUAGGUGUUGCCCGUAUCGACCCGGGCAGUGCCGUAGCUAACGCGUUAAGUAUCCCGCCUGGGGAGUACGCACGCAAGUGUGAAACUCAAAGGAAUUGACGGGGGCCCGCACAAGCGGUGGAGUAUGUGGUUUAAUUCGAUGCAACGCGAAGAACCUUACCAGGGCUUGACAUGUCGCGAAUCUCGGUGAAAGCUGAGAGUGCCUUCGGGAGCGCGAACACAGGUGGUGCAUGGCUGUCGUCAGCUCGUGUCGUGAGAUGUUGGGUUAAGUCCCGCAACGAGCGCAACCCUCGUUUUUAGUUGCCAUCAUUUAGUUUGGGCACUCUGAAGAGACUGCCGGUGACAAACCGGGAGGAAGUGGGGGAUGACGUCAAGUCAGCAUGCCCCUUACGCCCUGGGCUAC
rnacentral:rRNA from 1 species